UUGUAAAAUUCUUUCAGCGGGGACGAUAAUGACGGUACCCGCAGAAGAAGCUCCGGCUAACUUCGUGCCAGCAGCCGCGGUAAUACGAAGGGGGCUAGCGUUGCUCGGAAUUACUGGGCGUAAAGGGCGCGUAGGCGGAUGUCUUAGUCAGAGGUGAAAGCCCAGGGCUCAACCUUGGAACUGCCUUUGAUACUGGACAUCUUGAGUGUGGGAGAGGUGAGUGGAACUCCGAGUGUAGAGGUGAAAUUCGUAGAUAUUCGGAAGAACACCAGUGGCGAAGGCGACUCACUGGCCCAUUACUGACGCUGAGGCGCGAAAGCGUGGGGAGCAAACAGGAUUAGAUACCCUGGUAGUCCACGCUGUAAACGAUGAGUGCUAGUUGUCGGCAUGCAUGCAUGUCGGUGACGCAGCUAACGCAUUAAGCACUCCGCCUGGGGAGUACGGUCGCAAGAUUAAAACUCAAAUGAAUUGAC
rnacentral:rRNA from 1 species